rnacentral:rRNA from 1 species
UACGAGGGGGGCAAGCGUUGUUCGGAUUUAUUGGGCGUAAAGGGUGCGCAGGCGGUUUGGCAAGUCUUGUGUGAAAUCUUUGGGCUCAACCCAAAGUCUGCAUAAGAAACUGCCGGGCUUGAGUAUGGGAGAGGUGCGUGGAAUUCCUGGUGUAGCGGUGAAAUGCGUAGAUAUCAGGAGGAACACCUGUGGCGAAAGCGGCGCACUGGACCACAACUGACGCUGAGGCGCGAAAGCUAGGGGAGCAAACAGG